UCAAGCUACAAAGGGCGCAUGGUGAAUGCCUUGGCAUCAGGAGCCGAUGAAGGACGUGAUAAGCUGCGAUAAGCUUCGGGUAGGCGCACAUAGCCAGUGAUCCGGAGAUUUCCGAAUGUGGGAACACACAUGGGAAACCCCAUGUAUCGUAUAGUGAAUACAUAGCUAUACGAGGGUAAACCUAGGGAACUGAAACAUCUAAGUACCUAGAGGAAGAGAAAGAAAAAUCGAUUUCCUAAGUAGCGGCGAGCGAAAGGGAAAGAGCCCAAACCAAAGAUUUAUCUUUGGGGUUGCGGACAGAACAUUAACGAGAAGUCAUGAUUAACCGAACACAACUGGAAAGUUGGACCGUAGGAGGUAAUAGUCCUGUAGGUGAAAGUCAAGAUAAUCAAGUUCUGAUCCAGAGUACCACGAGACACGUGAAACCUUGUGGGAAGCAGGGAGGACCACCUCCCAAGGCUAAAUACUACCUGAUGACCGAUAGUGAAGCAGUACCGUGAGGGAAAGGUGAAAAGAACCCCGGGAGGGGAGUGAAAUAGAACCUGAAACCAUAUGUCUACAACCGAUCAAAGCACCUUAUGUGUGCGAUGAUGUGCUUUUUGUAGAACGAGCCAACGAGUUACGAUAUGUAGCAAGGUUAAGUACUUAAGGUACGGAGCCGAAGGGAAACCGAGUCUUAAUAGGGCGACUAGUUGCAUACCGUAGACCCGAAACCGGGUGACCUAUCCAUGGCCAGGUUGAAGCGAGGGUAAAACUUCGUGGAGGACCGAACCACGUUGCUGUUGAAAAAGCAUGGGAUGAGCUGUGGAUAGCGGAGAAAUUCCAAUCGAACUCGGAGAUAGCUGGUUCUCCUCGAAAUAGCUUUAGGGCUAGCGUCGAAUAUGAGUAAUGGAGGUAGAGCACUGAAUGGGCUAGGGGGCAUAGCGCUUACCGAACCUUAUCAAACUCCGAAUGCCAUAUACUAUAAGUUCGGCAGUCAGACUACGAAUGAUAAGAUCCGUGGUCAAAAGGGAAACAGCCCAGAUCGUCAGCUAAGGUCCCAAAGUGUAAGUUAAGUGGAAAAGGAUGUGGGAUUUCUAAGACAACUAGGAUGUUGGCUUAGAAGCAGCCACUCAUUAAAAGAGUGCGUAAUAGCUCACUAGUCGAGAGAUCCUGCGCCGAAGAUGUUCGGGGCUAAAACUUACCACCGAAGCUACGGGCUUGAAUUUAUUCAAGCGGUAGAGGAGCGUCGUAAUCGGGCUGAAGUCAUACCGUAAGGAGUGGUGGACUGAUUACGAGUGAGAAUGUUGGCAUUAGUAGCGAGAUGUAGGUGAGAAUCCUACAGGCCGAAUACCUAAGGUUUCCUCAGGAAGGCUCGUCCGCUGAGGGUUAGUCGGGACCUAAGCCGAGGCCGAAAGGCGUAGGUGAUGGACAACUGGUUGAUAUUCCAGUACCACUACCAUCGUUAUUAUCGAUGGCGUGACGCAGGAGGAUAGUGUGUGCUAGCUAUUGGAUGCUAGUCUAAGCAUUUAGUCAGUUACAAUAGGCAAAUCCGUUGUAAUAAUGAUGAGAUGUUAUGGGGAAGGUUCUACGGAACCGAAGUACAUGAUUCCACGCUGCCAAGAAAAGCGUCUAGAGAGAGAAGUAGUGCCCGUACCGCAAACCGACACAGGUAGGUGAGGAGAGAAUCCUAAGGCCGGCGGAAGAAUUGCAGUUAAGGAACUCGGCAAAUUGAUCCCGUAAGUUAGCAAUAAGGGAUGCCUAUGAGAGUAGGCCGCAGAGAAUAGGCUCAAGCAACUGUUUAGCAAAAACACAGGUCUCUGCUAAAGCGUAAGCUGAUGUAUAGGGGCUGACGCCUGCCCGGUGCUGGAAGGUUAAGGGGAACACUUAGCGUAAGCGAAGGUGUGAACUUAAGCCCCAGUAAACGGCGGCCGUAACUAUAACGGUCCUAAGGUAGCGAAAUUCCUUGUCAGGUAAGUUCUGACCCGC
rnacentral:rRNA from 1 species